GUACGGGCAGACUAGAGUGCAGUAAGGGAGACUGGAAUUCCUGGUGUAGCGGUGGAAUGCGCAGAUAUUAGGAGGAACACCGAUGGCGAAGGCAGGUCUCUGGGCUGUAACUGACGCUGAGGAGCGAAAGCAUGGGGAGCGAACAGGAUUAGAUACCCUGGUAGUCCAUGCCGUAAACGUUGGGCACUAGGUGUGGGGACCAUUCCACGGUUUCCGCGCCGCAGCUAACGUAUUAAGUGCCCCGCCUGGGGAGUACGGCCGCAAGGCUAAAACUCAAAGGAAUUGACGGGGGCCCGCACAAGCGGCGGAGCAUGCGGAUUAAUUCGAUGCGACGCGAAGAACCUUACCAAGGCUUGACAUGUUCUCGAUCGCCGUAGAGAUACGGUUUCCCCUUUGGGGCGGGUUCACAGGUGGUGCAUGGUUGUCGUCAGCUCGUGUCGUGAGAUGUUGGGUUAAGUCCCGCAACGAGCGCAACCCUCGUUCCAUGUUGCCAGCACGUCGUGGUGGGGACUCAUGGGAGACUGCCGGGGUCAACUCGGAGGAAGGUGAGGACGACGUCAAAUCAUCAUGCCCCUUAUGUCUUGGGCUUCACGCAUGCUACAAUGGCCGGUACAAUGGGUUGCGAUACUGUGAGGUGGAGCUAAUCCCAAAAAGCCGGUCUCAGUUCGGAUUGGGGUCUGCAACUCGACCCCAUGAAGUCGGAGUCGCUAGUAAUCGCAGAUCAGCAACGCUGCGGUGAAUACGUUCCCGGGCCUUGUACACACCGCC
rnacentral:rRNA from 1 species